rnacentral:rRNA from 1 species
UACAGAGGGGGCAAGCGUUGUUCGGAAUUACUGGGCGUAAAGGGCGCGUAGGCGGCCUGUUAAGUCGAACGUGAAAUCCCCGGGCUCAACCCGGGAACUGCGUCCGAGACUGGAAGGCUUGAAUCCGGGAGAGGGAUGUGGAAUUCCAGGUGUAGCGGUGAAAUGCGUAGAUAUCAGGAGGAACACCGGUGGCGAAAGGCGGGUCUCUGGGCCGAUACUGACGCUGAGGAGCGAAAGCCAGGGGAGCAAACGGG